rnacentral:rRNA from 1 species
AGGACGAGCGCUGGCGGCGUGCUUAACACAUGCAAGUCGAGCGGAAAGGCCCUUCGGGGUACUCGAGCGGCGAACGGGUGAGUAACACGUGAGCAACCUGCCCUUAGCUCUGGGAUAGCUCCGGGAAACCGGAAUUAAUACCGGAUAUUACACCGGCUGGCAUCGGCUGGUGUGGAAAGAUUUAUCGGCUAAGGAUGGACUCGCGGCCUAUCAGCUUGUUGGUGGGGUAGAAGCCUACCAAGGCGACGACGGGUA